ACAAGACAGCUACAAGAAUAGGGAAGACAGAGGGGAUAAGUUACCAUCAGAGAAAGGACAAGACAACUACAAGAAUAGGGAAGACAGAGGGGAUAAGGGAGCAUCAGAGAAAGGACAAGACAGCUACAAGAAUAGGGAAGACAGAGGGGAUAAGGUGAGUGAGCAUCAGAGAAAGGACAAGACAGCUACAAGAAUAGGGAAGACAGAGGGGAUAAGUUAGCAUCAGAGAAAGGACAAGACAGCUACAAGAAUAGGGAAGACAGAGGGGAUAAGUUAGCAUCAGAGAAAGGACAAGACAGCUACAAGAAUAGGGAAGACAGAGGGGAUAAGUUAGCAUCAGAGAAAGGACAAGACAGCUACAAGAAUAGGGAAGACAGAGGGGAUAAGUUAGCAUCAGAGAAAGGACAAGACAGCUACAAGAAUAGGGAAGACAGAGGGGAUAAGUUAGCAUCAGAGAAAGGACAAGACAGCUACAAGAAUAGGGAAGACAGAGGGGAUAAGUUACCAUCAGAGAAAGGACAAGACAGCUACAAGAAAAGGGAAGACAGAGGGGAUAAGGUGAGUGAGCAUCAGAGAAAGGACGAGACAGCUACAAGAAUAGGGAAGACAGAGGGGAUAAGGUGAGUGAGCAUCAGAGAAAGGACAAGACAGCUACAGCAGGGAGGGUUGGACUACCAUUCAUGGGGAGUCACAAGAGGAUAAUACCCCAUUAAGUGUAGCAAGAAUUUAAGAGGUCCUUGGGGUCCCCUCCAUUUGGAGCUUGGGGACAUUUUCAAUUAGCGCCUCCCCAUAAUCUCUCUUAGCUAUGCCACUGACUCCCUUCCUUGGACAAGUUCAGAGUUACAUUAGUUGUCAAAAGUCAUCUCAUGAGGAUCAAUGUACAUUCCCUUGGUACUAGUUCUGCAGUACACAUUAAUCUAUCAUUUUCAAAAGACAAAUAAUGAAAACUCUAAUUCCUGACACUCAAAAAUUUUCCAGAGUCCUCCCAGACUUAA